UACGAAGGGUGCAAGCGUUACUCGGAAUUACUGGGCGUAAAGCGUGCGUAGGUGGUUUGUUAAGUCUGUUGUGAAAGCCCCGGGCUCAACCUGGGGAAUGGCAAUGGAUACUGGCAAAGCUAGAGUGCGGGUAGAGGGUAGUGGAAUUCCCGGUGUAGCGGUGAAAAUGCGUAGAAUAUCUGGAGGAACAUCGAUGGCGAAGGCAAUCACCUGGGCCUGAAACUGACACUGUGACAACGAAAGCGUGGGGUAGCAAACAGGA
rnacentral:rRNA from 1 species